ACUGCUCAUAACACGUGGACAACCUAACCUACAGAGGGGAAUAACCCCGGGAAACUGGGGAUAAUACCCCAUAGACUAUGGAUGCUGGAAUGCUUCGUAGUUGAAGGGUCCGCCGCUGUAGGAUGGGUCUGCGGCCGAUUAGGUUGUUGUUGGGGUAACGGCCCAACAAGCCUGUAAUCGGUACGGGUUGUGGGAGCAAGAGCCCGGAGAUGGAUUCUGAGACACGAAUCCAGGCCCUACGGGGCGCAGCAGGCGCGAAAACUUUACAAUGCGGGAAACCGUGAUAAGGGAACUCUGAGUGCCCGUAAAAUCGGGCUGUCCAUCAAUUUAAAAAACUGGUGAAGAAAGGGCCGGGCAAGACCGGUGCCAGCCGCCGCGGUAAUACCGGCGGCUCGAGUGGUGGCCACUAUUACUGGGCUUAAAGCGUUCGUAGCUGGUCUGUUAAGUCUCUGGGGAAAUCUUCCGGCUUAACCGGAAGGCGUCUCAGGGAUACUGGCAGACUAAGGACCGGGAGAGGUGAGAGGUACUCCAGGGGUAGGAGUGAAAUCCUGUAAUCCUUGGGGGACCACCUGUGGCGAAGGCGUCUCACCAGAACGGCUCCCACAGUGAGGGACGAAAGCUGGGGGAGCAAACCGGAUUAGAUACCCGGGUAGUCCCAGCUGUAAACGAUGCGCGUUAGGUGUAUCGGUGACCACGAGUCACCGAGGUGCCGAAGAGAAAUCGUGAAACGUGCCGCCUGGGAAGUACUGUCGCACGGCUGAUACUAAAGGAAUUGGCGGGGAG
rnacentral:rRNA from 1 species